rnacentral:rRNA from 1 species
UGGGGGAUAUUGCACAAUGGGGGAAACCCGUGAUGCAGCGACGCCGCGUGAGGGAAGACGGUCCUCUGGAUUGUAAACCUCUGUCUUCGGGGACGAAACGAGACGGUACCCGAGGAGGAAGCCACGGCUAACUACGUGCCAGCAGCCGCGGUAAUACGUAGGUGGCAAGCGUUAUCCGGAUUUACUGGGUGUAAAGGGCGCGUAGGCGGGGAUGCAAGUCAGAUGUGAAAUCUAUGGGCUCAACCCAUAAACUGCAUUUGAAACUGUAUCUCUUGAGUGUCGGAGAGGUAGAUGGAAUUCCUAGUGUAGCGGUGAAAUGCGUAGAUAUUAGGAGGAACACCAGUGGCGAAGGCGAUCUACUGGACGAUAACUGACGCUGAGGCGCGAAAGCGUGGGGAG